AUGAAAUGCUAGGACGCUCUCUUUAGAGGUCCGACCUUUCAUUCUCCCUACACUGUGAACCCAAUUUUUACACCAUUUUUAAACGCACGAGUCUUAAAGAAUGUCACAAGUCUCUUAAUUGAGCAUGAAACUUGUAA
rnacentral:misc_RNA from 1 species